rnacentral:lncRNA from 1 species
UUUUUGUCGCGAAAUAUGUACUUUUUGUAGCGAAAAUUUGCUCCACAAAAUAAUAGUUUUCUUGUAGUGAAUAUAAGAGGGUUAAAAGAUUAAUUUAAUUCAUUCACUAACUAAAGUUAAGUAUUUUACUUAUGAUUAACUAUAUAUAUUUUUCUAACAGUUCCUAACAGUACGGAUAUGUUCGAAAAUAUUAGGAUUUUUGCCUAGAUAAAAAUAAAAAAUUAAAGUUUAUAGAGAUAUAUCUGCUGUUCGAUAUGUUUACAGAAGCAAGCUGUAUACAAUUGAUUAACCCUAAUAAAAUUGGUCCCCACCCAAACCUGACCCAUUUACAUCACUAUAAAUAAGGCCGUAUGACAUGCCUCUCUAUUUUAUUACGAUGGAUGGUUGAUUAU